rnacentral:rRNA from 1 species
CCUACGGAGAGCUGCAGUGAGGAAUAUUGGUCAAUGGGCUUACGCCUGAACCAGCCAAGUCGCGUGAGGGAAGACUGCCCUAUGGGUUGUAAACCUCUUUUGUCAGGGAGCAAUUGGCGCUACGUGUAGCGUUAUCGAGAGUACCUGAAGAAAAAGCAUCGGCUAACUCCGUGCCAGCAGCCGCGGUAAUACGGAGGAUGCGAGCGUGAUACGGAUUUAUUGGGUUUAAAGGGUGCGUAGGCGGACGGCCAAGUCAGCGGUAAAAUCGCGGGGCUAACCCUCGCUCCGCAGUUGAAACUGGCGUUCUUGAGUGGGCGAGAGGUAGGCGGAAUGCGUGGUGUAGCGGUGAAAUGCAUAGAUAUCACGAAGAACUCAGAUUGCGAAGGCAGCAUACCGGCGCCCAACUGACGCUGAAGCACGAAAGCGUGGGUAUCGAACAGGAUUAGAUACCCGAGUAGUC